rnacentral:lncRNA from 1 species
AGCCAACCUUUCCCAGCCACAUUCCACUGCAAGAUCUCCUCUAGCAAUCAUCACUCCAAAGGGAUUUGAGGACUUCAUUGCCUCCAAUAACACCAAAGGCAAUUUCUCAAACCCACUCUUUGUCUCAAUCUUUAAAAUAACACCAAGGUUUUGAAGUUUCCGAUUUUCCAAUUCUUUGCGCAGCACAACAAUAUCAUGGGUGUCUCGGACAAAAGAAAUGCCUACCAUGUCAGAAUGAGUAGCAACAAACUCGAGGUCCACAAGAUCCUUUGAAGUAAGUCCUUCAAACCGAACAUUGCUAUCAGGAAUAUUAAAUGCUAUCCUUGCUAAUGGAUCAUUAAUGGCUGAGCUCCAUAUUUUAGGAAUUAAUGGUGACCUGGGGUAGUGAACUUGAUGAACUGAUUGUUGUGAAUAUAAUUGGGAUUUGUGAGAAUUUUGUAGUAUGUUGUUAUUGAAGAUCACUCUAAUAUUUCAGGUUCUUUUCCUAUUACCCUAAACCAACCAUUUUAUUGGCCAAAUACAUUUCAUGGAAGAAGGAAUUAAGAUAACGAAUUACUGUCUGAAUUGAAUUUCAAUUCCUCUCUCUAGAUUUUUAAUUUAUCUUCACUUCCUGGAUGUAUUUUUUGAAGGUACCAAUGUUUGAAAAGAUGGAUGAACAACUAUUAGAUGCUAUGUGUGACCGGCUCAAGCCAACACUCUAUACCAAAGAAAGUUACAUUGUUCGGGAAGGCGAUCCAGUUGACGAGAUGCUCUUCAUUAUGCGAGGCAAGCUUUUAACCAUGACCACCAAUGGCGGAAGAACUGGCUUCUUCAACUCUGAAUACCUGAAGGCUGGUGACUUUUGUGGAGAGGAAUUGCUUACAUGGGCCCUAGAUCCCCAUUCCUCAUCCAACCUUCCUAUCUCAACCAGAACCGUUCGAACCAUUACUGAAGUUGAAGCAUUUGCUCUAAUGGCUGAUGACUUGAAAUUUGUUGCUUCUCAAUUCCGGCGGCUUCACAGUAAGCAACUCCGCCACACUUUCAGGUUUUACUCGCAACAAUGGAGGACAUGGGCAGCCUGCUUUAUACAAGCUGCAUGGCGUCGAUAUAAUAAAAAGAAGCUGGAAGAAUCUCUGCAACAAGAGGAGGAUAGGUUGCAAGAUGCAUUGGCCAAGACAACUGGGAACUCACCGAGUUUAGGUGCCACCAUAUAUGCCUCACGAUUUGCUGCUAAUGCACUUCGUGCUCUACGGCGUACUGGUACUCGCAAGACAAGGUUGUUGGAGAGGGUUCCGCCCAUUUUGCUUCAGAAGCCUGCAGAACCUGAUUUUACAACUGGAGAAAGAUAGAUGUAGAAGACUAUUUGCUAUGAUAUUUUUUAUGUUUUAUUGUAAAUGUACAAAAAUGAAAUUAGAACUACUGUGGCCAAUGAAGAAAUGAAAAUAGGGGGGAGUUAGAGUUGCUUUGUUCAUAGUCGCAUUUUGUUGACCUUAUUGGUUGUUGUUUUGAGUGUUGUUGUGAAUUGUAAUGCAAAUUCAAUUACAGAAAUGCAAUUCAGUUUCCGUUUCUUUAAUUUGCUCCUUCCCUUCUGUCUCUUCUAUUUUCUCUUGCCAAUCAAUAGUUAGGUUGAUCUUAACAAAAGGUUGUGUUACGUUUAUCAUGUACAUGUUAAUCUGCAACUGUAUUUUUCUCAGCUUUUAUAUUGAGUUGGUUCAAAUUCAUCAUUUAUUGGCGAGCAACAUCAGGAAUCAUCUGGCGACACUAUCAAUUUCUGAAAAUAGAAAAGCAAGCUUGCAAUUGUCGGUAAGCAUUUCAAUAGGCAUCAGAACAAAAUAGUUUACCCGUGCAAUUUCAAAGAGGCUGGUCCAGUGGAGACAAGAAGUAUCAAUUGGACUCUUCAUAGAAGGUUUGGCUUGAAGAAAAGGAUACUAUUAAAAGCUUGUCUGAUGACUCAGAUAUCAAUCACAUUUGACUAUAUACAGAACUAGAGAUACGGAGAUAUUUACAGAACUAGAUAUGCGGAUACAGUUUUGAUCUCCCAAAUUCAAGAUCUUUUCUGCAAGUUGAAUGGAGACAUUCAUCAACUAAAACGGAGAAAAGGAACUUCACAAGAAGUGGCUACAGAGUAAAUUGGGCUUCAAGUCUGUUCUCACCCCUGCAGAGUUUGAAUGGAGGAUCUUAUCCAAAGUUGAAACAGCUUUGGUGAUGUGUUUCCCUUUGUUCAGCAUGACACAACUUGCUCUGUUAAGACGAAAAGGAAUCCUCAAUUCGUACUUUUGGAAAUAAAGAAAGAAAAAGCAUGAAAUUUGAAUUUAUAUUAAUGGCAUGAUCAGGGCAUGCGGAAUAUUUUACCUCCUUCCACUGGCUGCAUCAAUGAUCUCUGCUCGGGUGGGCACACCAGACUUCACAAGGGACUCUAAGACCUGAGUUGCCAAAAUGACAGGUACUUGAGCAGCAUCACAAAGAGAGAGAAUUUCUUCUUGCAUAUCAGCCAACCUUUCCCAGCCACAUUCCACUGCAAGAUCUCCUCUAGCAAUCAUCACUCCAAAGGGAUUUGAGGACUUCAUUGCCUCCAAUAACACCAAAGGCAAUUUCUCAAACCCACUCUUUGUCUCAAUCUUUAAAAUAACACCAAGGUUUUGAAGUUUCCGAUUUUCCAAUUCUUUGCGCAGCACAACAAUAUCAUGGGUGUCUCGGACAAAAGAAAUGCCUACCAUGUCAGAAUGAGUAGCAACAAACUCGAGGUCCACAAGAUCCUUUGAAGUAAGUCCUUCAAACCGAACAUUGCUAUCAGGAAUAUUAAUGGAUUUCUCAGACCCAAGUUUUGUGCCUUUGGGACCGGCAUGAGUGAUUGAGACAACAAUCUCUGAUAUACCUGUUCCUCGGAUAACUC